rnacentral:lncRNA from 10 species
GCAGUUGGUGGACCUGGUCGCGCUGUGCCGGGUGUGACACUACGGAGAGCAGAUUACAUUAUCAAAAGCACCAAGUUGAAACAUUUGCAAGGUGUGCAUCAUUUCACAAUUAUUGGCAAUGGUUCAAUGGUUUCAUCUGCUUUGAACGGUUUCUUCUCUAUCAUUAAGAGGUGAAGGUUGAUCAUGGUGAUGUGAAACUCUACCAAAAUCUCCAUCUGCAGAGCGGAGGCAUGUUGCUGUAGAAGCGCACUGGAAGGAAACUCAGAUCACUGAGGUCCAGCCUCACUGCAGCCUUUGGUUCUUUCCUUGGCCCAUGAAGAGUCUCUUAGCCUCACUGAACCUAUUUUCCUCCUCUGUACAAUGUUCACAAUUAAGUCCUUGCUUAAUGCACAGUAGUGUGGGGAAAAUAUUAGAAUACCAUUUACAUUUGUAUGAUCUUUGAUAACUAAUGAAACCCUUCUCCUCUGGUUUUUCUUUUUUUCUCAUACAAAUGCAAUGAAGUAGUUGGCCUAGGCAAAGAAUUUAUGACUGAUCUCAAAAGCAAAUGCAACAAAACAAAAAUAGACAAAUGAG